UUAGGAAUCUUCCCCAAUGGGCGAAAGCCUGAGGGAGCGACACUGCGUGAAGGAUGAAAGCCUUCGGGUUGUAAACUUCUGAACGAGGGACGACGGUACCUCGCUAACAGCACCGGCUAACUCCGUGCCAGCAGCCGCGGUAAUACGGAGGGUGCAAGCGUUAUCCGGAAUCACUGGGCGUAAAGGGCGCGUAGGCGGUUUACUAAGUCCGAUGUUAAAGACCGGGGCUCAACCCCGAUAAGGCGUUGGAUACUGGUAGGCUCGACGACUGGAGAGGAAAGUAGAAUUACCAGUGUAGCGGUGGAAUGCGUAGAUACUGGUAGGAAUACCCAUUGCGAAGGCAGCUUUCUGGACAGUCCGUGACGCUGAGGCGCGAAAGUGUGGGGAGCAAACCGGAUUAGAUACCCUGGUAGU
rnacentral:rRNA from 1 species